GGCAAGAUGGCUGCCAGCAGCUCUAGGCUCCAUCCUCACAGCCCAAAUCCUCACUCCUUUCAGCGGUCCCAGCAAAAAGCCAAGGUUACGUCAGGUUGGCUCUGACUGGGUCACAUACCAUUGUUUGGGCCUGAAUCACAUGCCUGACCCUGGAGUUGAUCCCAUCCAAACCACAGGGAUGGAGAAUGAGGAAGGGUGAUGUCAGAGCACUGUUUACAAUUAGAAGGUGAAUGGACCCAGAGCUGUGCGCCACGCACGCAGGAAGUUCACAAAAAAUAUUGGCUGUUGUUGAGGACCUUCGUCAUGUUUCAGGGGUGCCCAGUACCUUUUGAACAUCUGUCUCUGUUUAGGGAAAUUCCCGUGUCUUGAACCCUGCACCCCCUACUCCAAAACCAGAAACACUCUUUCCCAGUGUCCCUUGCAGCUGAGGAGCUGGCAUCAUCGAGGCCCUGCAACCAAAUGCACCAGGGAAGAUUUUCAUGUGGAAAGGAGCAAUGUGAGGAGACAGGUGUCACCCAGAACCCAUUCAGGAGGAUGGCAGCAAGGAUGGUACUGGAGGCAUCUGGCUUUAGAGACGACAGCGGCAGAGGUGCUGGAGUACUUGCCAAAAAAUGAGAGCUCUGGGCAAGAUGCCUUCUAACAUCAUCCUCUGCAGGCGUUGCCCUUCUACCUUCUGAGAUCUCCCCGACCCUCCGAGGAUCUGUGCACUCAGCUUCAGUCAGGAGACCUUUUCUGAGCCCUGAGUCCAUGCCAAGCAUGCUGGGCCAUCGACAUCAGCAGCAGAGGAGGCGACCUCAGCCCAGCUGACUGUCCCACAGUAUCCCAGACAUCAGAGCGGGACAGCCCAGGACCUCCUGGCUCUGCUGAGGAGGAAAAGACCUCACGCGUAGGAGAAUGGCCAACCCAUCAUUGUUUCCCCACAGACUUGAAAACUGGAAUUGAGCCAUGUAGGAAAAUGGAGCAGGUCCCAAGAAGGUCCUUGUGACAACCCUAGAAGACAUGACCUGGGAGAGAAAGGAGAGUCCAGGGUCCUUUCCAAACACUGUGGGCAGGAGCGAAGGUCAAGAUACAUGAAACUCAAUAUUCAGAUUCAGACUGAGAAAAAUAAAAAGUACGUUUGAAGGA